GGUGGGUGGGGAAUCAGUCCCUUGAGGGUCAUGUACCCUUUGGGAAGGCUGUGCAGAGGAAAGUCGGAGGUGAAAUUAAUUGAAUUCCUGAAGUAUUUACCCUCCCAGAGAGAGCGAGGUUGACUUUACAUUUGGACUCCACGCGAUGCAUGUGAAGGUGUUUUACCUGCUCAUUUUCUUCAGAACCACUUCAUAUUUGGACGCCCAAGG